rnacentral:tRNA from 1 species
GCUUGGCUCAGUGGUAGAACAUCUGCUUGGCAUGUAGAAGGUCCCAAGUUCUACCUUUGCAAUCUCCA